UACGUAGGGAGCUAGCGUUGUCCGGAAUCAUUGGGCUAAAGCGCGUGUAGGCGGUCCGGUAAGUCCGCUGUGAAAGUCGGGGGGCUCAACCCUCGGAUGCCGGUGGAUACUGUCGGGCUUGAGUACGGAAGAGGCGAGUGGAAAUUCCUGGUGUAGCGGUGAAAUUCGCGUAGAUAUCAAGGAGGAAUACCCGGUGGCGAAGGGCGGGGUCUCUGGGCCCGAUACUGACGCUGAGGAGCGAAAGCGUGGGGAGCGAACAGGA
rnacentral:rRNA from 1 species